rnacentral:rRNA from 1 species
CAGUCGCCGCGGGAAUACAGAGGGUGCGAGCGUUAAUCGGAUUUACUGGGCGUAAAGCGUGCGUAGGCGGCUUCUUAAGUCGGAUGUGAAAUCCCUGAGCUUAACUUAGGAAUUGCAUUCGAUACUGGGAAGCUAGAGUAUGGGAGAGGAUGGUAGAAUUCCAGGUGUAGCGGUGAAAUGCGUAGAGAUCUGGAGGAAUACCGAUGGCGAAGGCAGCCAUCUGGCCUAAUACUGACGCUGAGGUACGAAAGCAUGUGGAGCAAACAGGAUUAGAUACCCCCGUAGUCCCUGUCUCUUAUAC